rnacentral:rRNA from 1 species
GGGUGAGUAACGCGUGGGUAACCUGCCCUGUACACACGGAUAACAUACCGAAAGGUAUGCUAAUACGAGAUAAUAUGCUUUUAUCGCAUGGUAGAAGUAUCAAAGCUCCGGCGGUACAGGAUGGACCCGCGUCUGAUUAGCUAGCUGGUAAGGUAACGGCUUACCAAGGCGACGAUCAGUAGCCGACCUGAGAGGGUGAUCGGCCACAUUGGAGCUGAGACACGGUCCAAACUCCUACGGGAGGCAGCAGUGGGGAAUAUUGCACAAUGGGCGAAAGCCUGAUGCAGCAACGCCGCGUGAGCGAUGAAGGCCUUCGGGUCGUAAAGCUCUGUCCUCAAGGAAGAUAAUGACGGUACUUGAGGAGGAAGCCCCGGCUAACUACGUGCCAGCAGCCGCGGUAAUACGUAGGGGGCUAGCGUUAUCCGGAAUUACUGGGCGUAAAGGGUGCGUAGGUGGUUUCUUAAGUCAGAGGUGAAAGGCUACGGCUCAACCGUAGUAAGCCUUUGAAACUGGGAAACUUGAGUGCAGGAGAGGAGAGUGGAAUUCCUAGUGUAGCGGUGAAAUGCGUAGAUAUUAGGAGGAACACCAGUUGCGAAGGCGGCUCUCUGGACUGUAACUGACACUGAGGCACGAAAGCGUGGGGAGCAAACAGGAUUAGAUACCCUGGUAGUCCACGCCGUAAACGAUGAGUACUAGCUGUCGGAGGUUA